rnacentral:rRNA from 1 species
UUCAUGGAGAGUUUGAUCCUGGCUCAGGACGAACGCUGGCGGCGUGCCUAAUACAUGCAAGUCGAGCGGACCGACGGGAGCUUGCUCCCUUAGGUCAGCGGCGGACGGGUGAGUAACACGUGGGUAACCUGCCUGUAAGACUGGGAUAACUCCGGGAAACCGGGGCUAAUACCGGAUGCUUGAUUGAACCGCAUGGUUCAAUUAUAAAAGGUGGCUUUCAGCUACCACUUACAGAUGGAUCCGCGGCGCAUUAGCUAGUUGGUGAGGUAACGGCUCACCAAGGCAACGAUGCGUAGCCGACCUGAGAGGGUGAUCGGCCACACUGGGACUGAGACACGGCCCAG